GAUGAACGCUGGCGGCGUGCCUAAUACAUGCAAGUCGAGCGAACAGACGAGGAGCUUGCUCCUCUGACGUUAGCGGCGGACGGGAGAGUAACACGUGGAUAACCUACCUAUAAGACUGGGAUAAUUUCGGGAAACCGGAGCUAAUACCGGAUAAUAUAUUGAACCGCAUGGUUGAAUAGUGAAAUACGGUUUUGCUGUCUGUUAUCGAUGGAUCCGCGCCGCAUUGGCUAGUUGGUAAGGUAACGGCUUACCAAGGGAACGAUGCGUAGCCGACCUGAGAGGGUGAUCGGCCACACUAGAACUGAGCCACGGUCCAGACUACUACGGGAGGCAGCAGUAGGGAAUCUUCCGCAAUGGUCGGAAACUUGACGGAGCAACGCCGCGUGAGUGAUGAAGGUCUUCGGAUCGUAUAACUCUGUUAUUAGGGAAGAACAAAUGUGUAAUUAACUAUGCACUUCUUGACGGUACCUAAUCAGAAAGCCACGGCUAACUACGUG
rnacentral:rRNA from 1 species